AGAACGAACGCUGGCGGCAGGCCUCAAACAUGCAAGUCUAGGGGGUGUAGCAAUACAUCACCGGCGGACGGGUGCGUAACACGUGGGAAUAUACCUUUUGGUUCGGAACAACGCAGGGAAACUUGCGCUAAUACCGAAUGUGCCCUUACGGGGAAAGAUUUAUCGCCAAAGGAUUAGCCCGCGUAGGAUUAGCUAGUUGGUGGGGUAAUGGCUCACCAAGGCUCCGAUCCUUAGCUGUUCUGAGAGGAAGAUCAGCCACACUGGGACUGAGACACGGCCCAGACUCCUACGGGAGGCAGCAGUUGGGAAUCUUGGACAAUGGGGGAAACCCUGAUCCAGCCAUGCCGCGUGAGUGAUGAAGGCCUUCGGGUUGUAAAACUCUUUCGACGGGGACGAUAAUGACGGUACCCGUAGAGAAGCUCCGGCUAACUUCGUGCCAGCAGCCGC
rnacentral:rRNA from 1 species